rnacentral:lncRNA from 10 species
UUACUCAUCAAGGAUGUUGGCGAGCCCAGCCCGGAACACAGCGUCCUUGUCCCUUGAUUAAGCAGCAGACACGCUCAGACAGUGGCCCUGCAGGAGGUGGUCGAUGAAUUCAUCUCUUGGCCAUUCAGAGAACCCAACAGCCACGGACUUGGGCAGAGAUGGGUCAAUGGGAGGUCAUGCCGGGUGGUCCCCUCCAGAGGCCACCCCCAAAGGGAAAUAAUGACAGCAUCCUCCCCCCAGGAGGUGCCCCAGACAAGGCUGAUGAAAGGGGUGGCUCGGUGGCUUCCUGUGGAAAGCCCGCUCUGGGACAGACCCCUGUGUGAGAAUGAUCCUGCUUGCUGUUAUCACUCCUUGAUCAAAACCUUCAGUGGCUUCUCACAAGCAGAAGACAGUCAAAACGCCUCUCACAGAGCCCUCCGUGAUUUGACCACAGAUCUUCCCGCUCACGUUUUUGCUCACCGUGUUCUGCUCACACCUGCCUAAUUUCUGGCCCUGGGACGCACCAUGGUCUGUCCUUCCUCAAGCCUCUCCUUCCGCCUGGGUGGAUCUCUGGGUCCACCCCGGCACCAGCUCUGAUGGCCGACUCCUAGCCGGGGCUGCCUGGUUCACUUUCGGACCCUAACACGUGGAGUAGCACCUGCCCAGAGGAGGCACUGGAGAGACAUUCACUCAGGCUACUUCCCAGCGCCUAGAGCAAGGCCUGGUACAUACUAGGUGCUCAGCAAAUAUGGAAGGGAGAGGGGAAAACAGAAGGGAGGAAACGGUGGAGAGAAAUUAUCAUGCAGCAACUUCAGAGACAGCAAGGGGAGUGGAACAGAGAAAGGGGUGCCUUCCAACAGGCACCUGGGACCCCCUUUGGGAUGGGCCCCCUGUACACGCCCAUACCACUCUCCAAGGCUGAAAGCAUCUCGUCCUCCACUGCCAAAGCAUUCCAGGAACGGGGCUGCACCCAGAGCAGCAGGAGGUACCAUCCCCUCUCCUACCCUCACGUCCAGCUCUUCUCCCUGCUCCAUGAUCCACAGUGAGGGCCUCCCUCGCUUCAAGAUAGUCCAUGACUAAGGACCUGUGGGACCAUCACAUUUCUUCAUCUCUUCAAUACAUCUUUUUGAAGGCCUGUGAUGCCCCAUGGAUGGGGCGAGGCUCCGGAUCAAUGAAGGCAGGAAAGUCACACGUGGCCCCACCUGUGGCAAGCCCCCAGCCAGUGGAGCUGGGAACAUACUGGACAGAUGAGAGUCAGCCCAUGUGUUCAGGAAGCCAAUCUGAUUUUUGUCAUCCACUGGCCCUUUAAACUUGUCCACUGGGAAGGAGCCUUGUCCCUGACCAGAUGGGAGCUCAGGCGAUGACCAUGACUUUGCUGGUCGCUUUCUAGCAGUAGACAGUCCUGUGGUCAGUGUGAGUCACAGACGGCCUCAGUCUAGCAGUGGAAAAAGUCCUGUCCUGAGUAAGAAUCAAAACUUGCUCCUUGAUUCAGCACAAUUUGCUGCACGACGGGUGCCUGCGGUAAGCUGACUGCUUGCAGGGAAGUGGCCUGGACCUCCUCUCUUUGCCCACAGGCUUUCGUCCAUCACUCCGACACAGCCUCCUCACUCGGGCUCAGGAGCCAGGCAGGGUCGGGAGGGAGACGAGGUGGACAGCUGCUCCCCCCCAGUCCCGUGUGUGACAGCUCUGAACUGCCUGGGACGCAGCAGAGCCUCCUCCGAUGGACUGACGGCUCUGUGGGGAUGAGCAGGGCCUCUCCUACCUGGCCGCACCCCUGUGGGCCAUUGUCCCGGAGAGGAGCCCCUCUCUUUAAGGGGCUCAGUUGCCCAGGAUGCAUGCAGCAUUGACCGUCUCUUGGAGGAGUUUCAGCUUUUCAGAAGCAGCCGCAGUUCUUCAACCCAGGCCCCUUUUGCCCUCAGGCAUGAGUCCCUUGAGCCCUCCAAAGGCCGGGCGCGGACAGAGCUGUCUGCAUGUUCCCACAAAACCCUCGCCAGGUAUGAAGUGAGGGGAUCACCACCCUCCCUCCUUGGAGCGGAGAGUGCUCUGUGCUCCUGCAACUCACAAAACCUUCUUCCCAUCUCCACAGAAUCAGGACACCUGGGUUCCCAUCCCUUCUGCCCACACCAAGGCAUAGCCUUCCACCCCUCUGAGCCUCAGUUUCCACUUCUAUACCAAGGGAAUGGCACUGCCCUAACCAGGCUCUGAGGGGCCAGAUGGAGUCACGUGCACGCACACAUGUCCUGUUUAUUAUUAGCGGAGGUGUGGUGUUGGCAUGGUGUGAGGAUGGAAGGAAUUCUCAGGACCCUUCCAGGGUAAAGGAACAGAAACAUCCCUGACCUUAGCCUGGCCUAAACUAGGGAUUGGCUCCUGGCCCUGAAUUCUCUGCAGACUCUGAACUCAGUGUGUGCCCAGCCUGAGCCAUAGCCAAGAACCAGGUCCAAGUGCACUGAAUAUCUCCCAAGCUGGGCUGGACACCCUCCUGCCACGUCCAGCCCAUUGUUUCAAUAUGAAGCAGAAUGUCCCCCUCAGAACCUGGGGCUGUGUACAUUUUGCAGCUCCAGAGCCACUGGCAUCACACUGCAGACCAGAAACUUUCCAUGGGAACCGUGGGAGCAGGAGGAAGACCAGGUGCUCAGCGGCCAGGGCAGGGCCAUCCUGGAGCUCUCAAGCCCGGGCACUGGAGCCAGCCAGCCAUGUGUCCCCUUCAAGAAGUCUCAGAAUCCCAAAUCCCAGCUGCAGCCUCUGGAGCUGGAAGACAGGUCAUGUCUUAGUGAAGUUCUUUCCCUGAGACCCAGGUCAUCCAGGACAAAAGCAGGAACUGGAAUGAGACAGGAAAGGCGGUGACCCCCCAGUCCCUGGCUGUCCAGCCUUCAGGUCAUCCAUGGAUGCUACAACAUGUAUUGAGCAAAACUCCAGGAUGUGCAACUGGGGUAAAGCAGAAGCAGAACAGACAAGCCCCAGGGGAUGUAGAUGCUGCAGGAGUGGGCAACAGCCAGUAAUCAGGAAGCAGAUGCAUUGACAAAAAAAAUAGCAAGCAAGGCAAAGCAAACCCCACGCAGGAAGCACACAGGUGCGGCCCGAGUGACCACGGGGAAGGGGCUGCUUUAGCCGCCCAUCGUGGGGGCCUCCUCCAAGCAGGUGGAAUGUGAUUCUGCAGCUGGAGUGAUGAGAGGGCUGGCUAGGGGAAGACCCAGCCCGCAGUGGCAGUGAUCAGGCCCACCCAGGUCAUCCAGGACAACCUCCUUUACUUGAAGUCAGUGAUUAUGGGCUUAAACCACAACUCUAACAUCUCUCCCUGCAAUGCUCAGCUGAGGGACUCAUUGAAUAACAUGACUGUGGCCUCGAAGGAUUCACAUAUCAAGCUGAUCAUCACAAUUACCUGCCCAGAGCAAUAUUAAACACCACUCAGAAAUUAUGCACAUGGUUUCAACCUUCUUUUUAAAGUCCAAGUUGUUCUGGACCUCCCUUUUGGAGAGGUCCCGGAGUGGCGCCCCGCCGCGGGUCAGUGACUUCCUCCAGUGGGGAGGCAUCUGCCCUUUGUCCCACCCACAAGGCAGAAUGAUAGGCAGGGGCCGGGACCAAUCCCCACCCUGUGACUUCCUUUGAGGCAGCUUCAGGGGUGGGGCUGUCCAGUUCCCCUGAGGUCACAUUAGGAAUGCCAGCAAGCCCUCCACGUGGCUUUGGCUGGAAUAUUCUGGAAAACAUGUUCAUCACUGUCAGUGGGACUUUCUUAAGAAUCAUAGAAAAUUGAUGCUUCCCAUGGUGGAGGGAAAACUCAUGAAUUUGAUGGUGAGAUUAGAGGAGUUUCAGACUGUAAUGGCUACUUUUUUUUACAAUUUGAAAUAUUUAUUUAGACCAAGAGAGGAAAUCACUACAUGUUUUGCAAUAUUUACAAGUUAGCAAUAUCACAAAAUGUAGUGGGGAAAAAGAACAAUUUUUCUUAAUUACAGCUCUGUAAUGCUUUUUUCCUACUUUUCUUUUGGUUGUAUCACGUUGUCUCUUCAUUUGGCAAUUUUGUAAUAUCCUUUCCCAUAGAAGAAUUUAAAGAUAAUUCAGAGUAUCCUCUAACGUAGUUGAUGGAAAUUUGCUUUUUAGUUUUGAUAGUUUAUAGGAGUUUCUUUCAAAUUCUCAACUCUUUACUAGCAAUAUAAUGUAAUUUUUACGAUUGCUGUUAAAUUUGGGGAAACCUCUAUUGAGUUUCUUUCCUUGCUGAGCUAGG